GAUGAACGCUGGCGGCGUGCCUAAUACAUGCAAGUCGAGCGAACGGACGAGAAGCUUGCUUCUCUGAUGUUAGCGGCGGACGGGUGAGUAACACGUGGAUAACCUACCUAUAAGACUGGGAUAACUUCGGGAAACCGGAGCUAAUACCGGAUAAUAUUUUGAACCGCAUGGUUCAAAAGUAAAAGACGGUCUUGCUGUCACUUAUAGAUGGAUCCGCGCUGCAUUAGCUAGUUGGUAAGGUAACGGCUUACCAAGGCAACGAUGCAUAGCCGACCUGAGAGGGUGAUCGGCCACCCUGGAACUGAGACACGGUCCAGACUACUACGGGAGGCAGCAGUAGGGAAUCUUCCGCAAUGGGCGAAAGCCUGACGGAGCAACGCCGCGUGAGUGAUGAAGGUCUUCGGAUCGUAAAACUCUGUUAUUAGGGAAGAACAUAUGUGUAAGUAACUGUGCACAUCUUGACGGUACCUAAUCAGAAAGCCACGGCUAACUACGUG
rnacentral:rRNA from 1 species